rnacentral:rRNA from 1 species
UGCAAGUCGAGCGGUAACAGAAAGUAGCUUGCUACUUUGCUGACGAGCGGCGGACGGGUGAGUAAUGCUUGGGAACAUGCCUUGAGGUGGGGGACAACAGUUGGAAACGACUGCUAAUACCGCAUAAUGUCUACGGACCAAAGGGGGCUUCGGCUCUCGCCUUUAGAUUGGCCCAAGUGGGAUUAGCUAGUUGGUGAGGUAAUGGCUCACCAAGGCAACGAUCCCUAGCUGGUUUGAGAGGAUGAUCAGCCACACUGGAACUGAGACACGGUCCAGACUCCUACGGGAGGCAGCAGUGGGGAAUAUUGCACAAUGGGCGAAAGCCUGAUGCAGCCAUGCCGCGUGUGUGAAGAAGGCCUUCGGGUUGUAAAGCACUUUCAGUCAGGAGGAAAGGGUGUGAGUUAAUACCUCACAUCUGUGACGUUACUGACAGAAGAAGCACCGGCUAACUCCGUGCCAGCAGCCGCGGUAAUACGGAGGGUGCGAGCGUUAAUCGGAAUUACUGGGCGUAAAGCGUACGCAGGCGGUUUGUUAAGCGAGAUGUGAAAGCCGGGCUCAACCUGGGAACUGCAUUUCGAACUGGCAAACUAGAGUGUGAUAGAGGGUGGUAGAAUUUCACGUGUAGCGGUGAAAUGCGUAGAGAUCUGAAGGAAUACCGAUGGCGAAGGCAGCCACCUGGGUCAACACUGACGCUCAUGUACGAAAGCGUGGGGAGCAAACGGGAUUAGAUACCCCGGUAGUCCACGCCGUAAACGAUGUCUACUAGAAGCUCGGAACCUCUGCAAGUCGAUGCAAGUCGAAC